rnacentral:rRNA from 1 species
AUUGAACGCUGGCGGCAGGCCUAACACAUGCAAUUCGGGCGAGCGGCGGACGGGUGAGUAAUGUAUGGGGAUCUGCCUGAUGGAGGGGGAUAACUACUGGAAACGGUAGCUAAUACCGCAUACCAUCAGAUGACCCCAUAUGGGAUUAGCUAGUAGGUGAGGUAACGGCUCACCUAGGCGACGAUCCCUAGCUGGUCUGAGAGGAUGAUAAGGCAGACGCGGACUGAGACACGGCCGAGACUCCUGCGGGAGGCAGUAGGGGGGAAGAUGGCACAAUGGGUGAAAGUCUGCUGCAGCCAUGCCGCGGGUAUGAAGAAGGCCUUCGGGUUUUAAAGUACUUUCAGUCGGGAGGCGUUACCGACAGAAGAAGCACCGGCUAACUCCGUGCUAGCAGCCGCGGUAAUUC